GACGAACGCUGGCGGCGUGCUUAACACAUGCAAGUCGAACGGAAAGGCUCCAGCUUGCUGGAGUACUCGAGUGGCGAACGGGUGAGUAACACGUGGGUAAUCUGCCCUGCACUCUGGGAUAAGCCUGGGAAACUGGGUCUAAUACUGGAUAUGACCUUUCUCCUUAUGGGGUUUGGUGGAAAGUUUUUCGGUGUAGGAUGAGCCCGCGGCCUAUCAGCUUGUUGGUGGGGUGAUGGCCUACCAAGGCGACGACGGGUAGCCGGCCUGAGAGGGUGAUCGGCCACAUUGGGACUGAGAUACGGCCCAGACUCCGACGGGAGGCAGCAGUGGGGAAUAUUGCACAAUGGGCGGAAGCCUGAUGCAGCGACGCCGCGUGAGGGAUGACGGCCUUCGGGUUGUAAACCUCUUUCAGCAGGGACGAAGCGUAAGUGACGGUACCUGCAGAAGAAGCACCGGCUAACUAUGUG
rnacentral:rRNA from 1 species